GGAUCAUUGUCGAAAUCGAACGGAAGAACGACCCGCGAAUCGUCAUUGCGUAGUAGACAGAGCCCGCGAGCACCUAACGCUCACGGGUCUCGCGUCGCGUCGGCGCGGGUGUACUCGAGACCCGCGUCGUACCGGCGGACAAACAACGUCAGCACGGAUCGUGCCAAGGAGCUGCAUGGAGAGAAUCGUCGUCCCACGCCUUUGAUAGUCCUCGACGCGGGGCGGGGGAUGUACGCAAUCUCUACUCAAAAGUCUAAACGACUCUCGGCAACGGAUAUCUCGGCUCUUGCAUCGAUGAAGAACGUAGCGAAAUGCGAUACUUGGUGUGAAUUGCAGAAUCCCGUGAACCAUCAAUUCUUUGAACGCAAGUUGCGCCCGAAGCCAUUCGGCCGAGGGCACGCCUGCCUGGGCGUCGUGAAUCCCCUUGCCCCUAGGCACCCGCAUGAGCAUUGGCGGGGACAUAUGCUCGGGCGCAGAAUAUGGUCUCCCGUGGGAUCGGCAUGCACGGCAUGUCGAGGCGCGGUUGGCCGAAAAUCGAGCAUGGCGGUGACGGGCACCACGGCGUUCGGUGGAUCGAAUGAGAUUGGCUGCGUCGUGGGCUCGGCAUGCGGCGGGCUCCGGACUUUGAACUUCCCCGAGUGCGAUCCCAGGUCAGGCGGGGCUACCCGCUGAGUUUAAGCAUAUCAAUAAGCGGAGGAAAAGAAACUAACGAGGAUUCCCUUAGUAGCGGC
rnacentral:rRNA from 1 species